UCCCUGUGAAAACCCUGUCUUUAACUCUGAAGCAGAACAAAAGACAAUUCAGGUUUUGAGCAGAUUGUCAUUUGUUCUGAUUCAGCAGUAAAGAGUGGGUUUUCAUGGGGA